rnacentral:rRNA from 1 species
CAUCCCGAACACGGAAGUUAAGCUCACCAGUGCCGACGAUACUUGGACGGGGACGUCCCGGGAAAAUAGGUCUUCGCCAACA